rnacentral:rRNA from 1 species
CCGCUUACUACUGCCAACCCAUUAACAGUAUUGAAUAAUUUCAUAAAUUAUGAAAACUACCAUGCUAGAACUAGUAACAAGAAAAUGAAUUUCUCCAAAGUGUAAACAUAAACCAAAACGGACAACCCAUUGGUAAUUAACGACUCUGAACCCAUUAUAGCAAAACAUCUAGAAAACCCUAUACUUAAUACCGUUAACCUUACACAAGAACUCUUCUGGAAAGAUUAAAAGGAAGAGAAGGAACUCGGCAAAUUUUAACCCCGCCUGUUUACCAAAAACAUCGCCUCUUGCUUAGUUAUAAGAGGUCCCGCCUGCCCAGUGUUUCAAUCAACGGCCGCGUGAUCUAAACGCGCGAAGGUAGCAUAAUAAUUUGUUCUUUAAAUGAGGACUUGUAUCAAUGGCAUCACGAGGGUUAUACUGUCUCCUCUCCCCAAUCAGUGAAACUAAUCUCCCUGUGAAAAAGCAGGAAUAAGAACAUAAGACGAGAAGACCCCAUGGAGCUUAAAACAAGGCAGCAAUUCAAUAACAAAAUCAGAACAAUCUUAAGCCCUGUAUGCCAGUUUUAGGUUGGGGUGACCACGGAGCAAAGCAAAGCCUCCACAACGAGAAGGGAUUAUUCCCUUACCCAAGAGACACGCCUCUAAGAAUUAUUAAAAUAACGUCUAAUGAUCCGAUUAUCGACCAAUGGACCAAGUUACCCUGGGGAUAACAGCGCAAUCCACUCUGAGAGCUCCUAUCGACGAGUGGGCUUACGACCUCGAUGUUGGAUCAGGAUAUCCCAGUGGUGCAGCCGCUACUA